CAGUGACUGGUCAGACCAGAGAAGACAGCGCGCUAGCGGAUCUAGUCUUCUAUCUAUAUCUUUGGUCGGCAGGUCUGGUAGCAUCUGUGGCUGCUGUUGAUCUUGUUUUUGGAGUAAAACACGGUGGAAGCUGAAUUAGUGAGGAUGACUCCUGCUCCUGUCAUCUCUAAGCUCCUCACACAUCUUUACCUGCACAUGAGGAAAAUCACUGCUGUAGAAUGCAGUGGUUCAUCAGAACCUCUGGGGAUGUCCUGUGGAUUCUGUGGAUCCUGUGGGUUGCAGGGUGGGUCCUACCUGGACCAGGCUGAUCCUGGACCAUCCCACAGAUGCUCAAUCAGAUCUGGAUGUGGGGAGUGUGGAACCCAGAUGUUCAGAGGGAGAUGAUGCCACAUCUGGUCCAGCUGAUGGAAGGUCUUGAAGUUCUCUGACUGGCCUCGACUGAAGAUGGUCGUCUCACUGGAUUUAAGGUUCAGAUGCUCAGUAACAAACUCCACCAAUGAGCCAGCAGGGAAGCUUUAGGUUUAUUAAAUGUUGCUAUGAAGGUUUCGCUGUUUUUCUUUGUGAAUGCAAUGUGCUCCAACUGAAACUUGAAUUAGAACUUAAAAGUAAAUCCUUCCAUCUGAAAGGAUUUAGUUGCAUUAAUAACCUCAUAACAUUCACAUUUUUAUUCCAGUCUUGGUUGGAAAUAGAAUCUCUGUAUAUAUUCAGGUAAAAACUGAACUUCACAGCAUGUUGGAGCAAAACAACCAGAUGAAAACUGUGAUGGUGUUGGAUUGUCAGACUGUAAUGUUGCAGCUCAAAGCAGCUUUUCUAGCUCAGUUCAUUCUGACAUUCAGCUAUGAAUCAACACAGCAGAUGGUGAUCCAUGCUGUGGAAGUCUCACAUCUCCUGAUUUAAUGGAGCUGCUUUGCACUUUUUACACUGUUUAUUCACCAACACUUUAUUUAAUAAAAGUCCCAUCUAGUUUUUAUGAGGAAUGUGAUGUUUUAAUUUCUCUGUGAAUAACUGCAGUCUAAUGGAACAGCUGGAGUUGUAACAUCUGUCCUGAUAUUUAUCAUGAAGUAUUGAUCAGAAUACUUAUGGUACUUGUGUUGUGAACUUUAGUAAGAAGCAGAAACGUUAGCGUUGCCAUGGAUACAUGAGUGUUAAAUUUUGUCCAUGUUUCCAUUUUGGGAAAUUCAGUCCAGUUCCAGAAUGUGGAGGAAUUUAGUCUCACAAUCACAGACAACAAAUAUUAUCUGAAAGUCGGGUUAUUGUUGUUUAUCAGCACAAUACAAAAAGAUUAAUGUUAGAAAUAUUCCAGUUAAGACUCUAGAAUAUCGUGAUUUAUGUAAAUUUACCUCAAUAAUAUGAAUGUUCAGGUUAAGAUUGUACAGUGAUAUUUAUUAUGUAAGUUUAGCUGAUUAAAGUUUAUGACUCUGCACUAAAAUAUUAUUUAAAUUGACAUCAUUAUUAUAAUAUUUAAGGUCAGACCCUACAGUAUUGAGAUUAAAAAAUCUAAUAUUCUAUAAAAUGUAAAUACACUGAACUCAUCUGGAUAUAUUUAAGUGAGACUACAAUAUUAUUUGACACAAAUCUAUCUAAAUCAAAAUUUUAAUAAUUUUCACGCCAAACAUUUACUGGACUGAUUUAAACAUUAAAAUCACUCCUUUCCAAUCCUCUGCUGUACGUUCAAACCUGAGACCUUAAAUAGAAACACACAAGUAUCUGAUUGAAGGAACUUCUGCAGAGUCCUGGUUCCAGAACAUGAUGAUAGAAUUAUAGACAAACUUUAACAAAAGCUGCCUGAGAGUUUACAGGUUUUUAUGUUAGAUUUCUUCAGUAAUUUAAUGAGAGUUAUCAGCAAAAAUCAAGUGUUCAUUUGAUGAACUUCAUUUCCUAAAACAUCCAGAAUUGGAGCUCAUAUCUUUGGCAGCUGUAAAGUUUCUGCUCCUUCAAAGUUCACAACACAAUGAAUGAAUUCCUAAAACACUCUCAAUGCUGGAGAGCGUUUGUGAUGCUGAAGCAGUGAUCAGUUUUUCUGUUUCUUCUCUGGAGAUGCACAAUGAGGGACGUCUGCAGAGAAUGAGAAAGAGUCUCACCACAUCCUGACAUGAGGAAAAAGACUUUAUUGAAGACUACAAUGAGAAAAACUAUCAGACAGCAGACGGCUGCAUUCAAGGUGAGCUCUGAACAUUUGAUCUGGAACAGGAAUUCAAUAACUGCAGCAUGAGCUUCAUUUCAGUCUGUAGCUGCUGAAUUCAUGGAUGAAUCAUCUGGCACUAGAGAGGAAGACCAUCAAACAUCCACGUCAGCUGAUGGAGGUCCAAGAGUCUCACCCAACAAACAACCUACAGAGUGAAGACCUCAAAUCUGAUUGGACGUCCUCCUAUUCAGCCACAUCACUGUUAACAGUUUAGGCUGUUGGAUUGUUCCAGAUAAGACAAGUAAAAGAUACUUCAGAGCCGUUCUACCACGAGCCUGACAGGAAGAACUCCAACAGCUACUGAAUGUUCCUGUGGUUCCCUCAAGGCUACAGGAGGAGCCCUACGAGGACGAGCCGGUCCACCUGAUGGCGGCCAGUCGCUGCAGUUCAAAGCCAACACUGACUACGUGGACUACUACAUGUUCAAGGGUUCUUCUGGGAAUAUACCAUUAAACCAACCUUUUAGGUAAAUGUUCCAGGAUGUUGGGUAGAAUAUACCAUCAGAUCAACCUUUUAGGUCUACAUUGGAAGAGUUUAGAGUAGAAUAUUACUCCAAACCAUCCUUUUGGUCUACAUUUAAGGUGGAAUACUCCUUUACACCAAGAUUUUUUGGUCUACAUUGAUACAUUGAUUUUAGGUGGAAUAUUCCUUUGAACAAACUUUUUAAGUUUAUGUUCAAGGAUGUUGGGUAGAAUAUACCAUCAGACCAACUUCCCAGGUCUACAGUAGUGAAUUUUAGGUGGAAUAUACCAUGAAACUCACCUUUUAGGUCUACAUUGGAGGAUUUUAGGUGGAAUUUUCUUCCAAACCGUCUUUUAGUCUACAUUUAAGGAUUUUUAGGAUGGUAUAUUAUAUUUAUUUAU